AUGAGCCGCAUGCGGGGAGACCCGCACGUACAGUUUUCAGGGGGAUUCGGCCGGCCAGCGCCCACCCGAC
rfam:Triticum aestivum genome assembly, contig: Triticum_aestivum_CS42_TGACv1_scaffold_621462_7DS